UACGUAGGGGGCAAGCGUUGUCCGGAUUUAUUGGGCGUAAAGAGCUCGUAGGCGGUUGGGCAAGUCACGUGUGAAAUCUCCACGCUCAACGUGGAGGCGCCACGUGAGACUGCCCUGACUCGAGUCCGGUAGGGGAGCGUGGAAUUCCCGGUGUAGCGGUGGAAUGCGCAGAUAUCAGGAGGAACACCAAUAGCGAAGGCAGCUCGCUGGGACGGUACUGACGCUAAGGCGCGAAAGCGUGGGGAGCGAACAGG
rnacentral:rRNA from 1 species